rnacentral:rRNA from 1 species
UACGUAGGUGGCAAGCGUUGUCCGGAUUUACUGGGCGUAAAGGAUGCGUAGGCGGACAUUUAAGUCAGAUGUGAAAUACCCGAGCUUAACUUGGGUGCUGCAUUUGAAACUGGGUGUCUAGAGUGCAGGAGAGGUAAGUGGAAUUCCUAGUGUAGCGGUGAAAUGCGUAGAGAUUAGGAAGAACACCAGUGGCGUAGGCGACUUACUGGACUGUAACUGACGCUGAGGCAUGAAAGCGUGGGGAGCAAACAGG